GCACUGCACAGUCAGUCAGUAGAGCAUGGGACUCUUAAUCCCAGGGUCGUGGGUUCAAGCCCCACGUUGGGCG
rfam:Homo sapiens chromosome 15, GRCh38 reference primary assembly.